ACACCAGCAGGUGUUGGCCUCCAGCCCCGGCCUCUCCUGAACUUGAGGCCUGAAGUCACUACCUGCCUGACUACUGGCUUCCUCAGCUAACACCCACCCCCAUGGUCCCUCAUUCUUUGACACAACCUGUCCCAUCCUGGACCCAGGGAUUUGUCUGGAACCUGCCAACUGCUUUUGUCCCAGGUCACAACCUCCAACCCUGGGACUGACCUUAACCUGUCAGCCUAGCCUUCUCUGGUGGCAGUUCAGGGAGGUCAGCAAGGAAAGGUCCGGACCCCAACCGUCCUACAUCAAGCAGGAAGUGAGCCCCAUGGGCUCUGUGCGCCAGCUGCCAUCUUCCAUUCUUGUGUGCUCGGGGAGAGGGCUCCUGCUAAGGUCACCUGUGUCACCAGUCCCAAGGCGCUCCUCAGUCGUGGUUGUUCGCCUCGGGUGGCCUUUCUGGAGCGGUUCCCUCCCUCGGCAGGCACACCCAGGCCUCUGCAGACCCUGUCCUCAGAGCGGCUCACCUCAGGCACACCCUGCCUGCUCGUCACUCCCUGUCCCCGACAAGCUCCUGUACACACGCGGUUCUAAUUACCAGCUACUUCCAGAAGGCUCCAGAUCCACGUGUCCAACUUGAAUGUCCCAAACGCACCUCAGAUGUCCAACACCCAACUCACACCCAGCCCACCUCUCGCCUGCCCCAGUAAACACCCAGAGGAUGCUGACCCCUGCUCACUCUUCCUGUGUCCUAUCCUGUGACCAUCGACCAUGGGCAGUCCCAAGGGCAGCACCCUGGGGUCCAGUGGCAGGGGGGAGUCCCAGGUCAGGGAUUUUCUUUCUUUUUUUUGGUGAGUGUGUGUGGGGUGCUGGGGAUUGAACCCAGGGCCUUGCUCAUGCAAGGGAAGCACUCUACCAACUGAGCUCCAUCCCCAGCGCCCCAGAUCUUGGAUUUUGCCUUUGUAUAUUUGUAGACAACCUCCAGAUGCUUCUGACAUGACUGGGGCUCCAACAUGAAUGAAUGCUCGUUGGUGUUUUCUGUGUUAACCAGAUGAGGGGGACACCUCAGAGGCCUGUGUCAGACUUCAUGGGCUGAUGAUAUGCGUGACCUUGUGGAAUCAGUUUAUGAAUGUGGGAUGAAUUUCCUCAGUUUUUCAUGCUGUUCCCACUGUG
rnacentral:lncRNA from 1 species